CUGUCUAGUGUCUGUGUACAUAUCUGUGUCUGACACAAGGAAACUUUUUUUUGACAAGUUGUCUGUAUUCUUAAAUACUUAAAAAAUUAUCUUUUUCUAAACAGCCCUCAUCACUCCAGUCUGCCCCCCAGCCCACUGAUAGCAACCAUCAUAAUGCCACACCCAGCUUCCGGCACCUUUCGCCACUCCGGCACAAACCGACACAGCUUUGCGAUCUCGCCAGCAUGCAGUCUGAUGUCUUCCCUAUAGAUGAUUCCAGAGACUCUGUGAGGCCACUAUUACAAGGCAAGUUUGAAAAUCUUGGAAUUUCACAGUUUACAUGGUAUAACAAAUAUAUGUGACAGGCAAAAACUAGUAAACACUUUUAGCAGUUACAAGAACUAACAAAUGAAUAUCCAACAAAAGGGAAUAGAAAUACAUUGUACUGCCAAUACUUUGGUUUAUUCUUUGUAUGACUUGAAAAUCAGGCUUUAGGGAAAACUAAAUGACAUGUUUCUAUCAUCAAUUACAUGAAGUAAACACACAAGCACUUGCAUACACAUUUAAGACAUGAGACACGCUAAUUCCAUCUCAUAAAAUGUGUCUAUAGGUGAGACGCUUUGCGUUGAUUGGUGCUGCUGGACCACACUGGAGGUGCGAGUCCGCCGUGUAAUGGUUUAUGCCAUUACAAAGGAGCUGGCCUCUGUACUCAACUGGGCAGGGAAAAAAAACCAAGGACCAGACAAAGCAAAAAAGGGCAUUUAAAGAGACAGCGCUGUGCAGAUGCAUAUUUGAUGGCCUGGCGCAGCAGGUAGGGGCGAACUCUAUGUCUGAGUUGGUCUUUGCUUAAGCAGUCCAGAAAUGGCUCAGAUAUGCUCCAGAUCGUACGGGUGGCGCGCAGGACACACAUCAUCCAUCCCCAUCCCGGAGUAAAUAAUAAAAAGUGACGUGAAACAUAGAAAUGUAAAUAGGAAACUUUGUCUUUUAAUAAAGUAUUUUGCAAAUGAUACAUGUCUAUUGACCUUUUUUGUUUUGGUUUUUUUUUUGUUUUUUUUUUCAAUAAAAAGCAACUGUGCAAAAGAGGUGGAAAAUUAACACCAUAGCUCAACAGUGUUUCAAUAUCAGAAUCUGACAUUGUUUCAAUGUCAACAGUAUUCGAAAAUAUAACGUCGAAUCAAUGUCAGGUUUCAACAUUGAUUCAACAUCAAAACCUGACGUUGUUUCAACGUUAAAAAUGGGUGCAAGAGUGACGUUGGGUCAACGUCACACUUCAACGUUGCUUCAAUGACGUCGCCUGAUAUUGACUCAACAUUGUUUCAAUGUUUCCUUGCUAUCUGGGUGGUCUGUUUGCAGCUGAUUGCCACUAGUGCUGUUUGAUUUCAUCUGUUUGGCUGGCUUUGUCUGGUUGUGUCUUGGCUAGGCCUUGCUUUGUAGGCAAUUGUUGAGUUAAUUGCUGAUGCGUUUGGUUAUUUGUGGUGGUUUGGUGUUCUGGGUUUGCUGUGUGUUUUGUUUGGGAGGCCAUUUUGUUAGGGGGAUUGAGUUUCGGCAGUCAUGUUAACACUGAUGUUUUUCUAUAGGCUUAGGUUUGGUGGAGCUAGUGUUGAUGUGCUGUCUUGAGUCGACUUUGGAGCGUAUGAGCUGUGUUGAUUAUUGAGUGUGCAUAAGUUGAAACCGGUGCUUUCCCUGUUAGGUUGAAGGAGUGUUUCUCUCUUGAGAAUCAUUCGUUGACAUUUCUGUUGCGGUGAACACGGUUAGAGCAGUCAUCUCGGGAGCACGUCCCCAGAAUUGAGGGGGUCGCUGUUUGUGCAGUUGCCUUUCUCUUUCUGGCGGUUUUUAGUGCAUAAGUACCCACCGUAAGUAACUGCAUGAAGACUAGGCUUCAGUUACGUAGAUUUUGGUUAGGCAGUUAGUGGGGAAGUGCUGAUUUCACUUGCAUUUCA
rnacentral:lncRNA from 1 species